rnacentral:lncRNA from 1 species
UAAUAGAAGGAACAAAAUAACAUGCAUCUAAUGCAAUAAAAGCUCCACUAGGCAGAUGUAGGGCGACCUCGCCAACAGCUACUACAGCAACUUUUGCUCCAUUACCCAUCUUGAGGUCCAUCUCGCCUCUCUCUAGUCUCCUAGGCCUUGCCAGAACCUGCAACGAAUUGCAUAUAUGAUAAGCACUACCGGUAUCCAAUACCCAUAUGUUAUCAUAAGAGUUUGACAAUUGGAGACUGAUCAUGAAUGUACCUGAAGCUUCAUCAAGCUUUUGUUUCGCCCUUUCUGCAAGGUACUCUUUGCAGUUUCUCUUCCAGUGCCCAUCUU